rnacentral:rRNA from 1 species
UACGGAAGGCAGCAGUGGGGAAUAUUGCACAAUGGGCGCAAGCCUGAUGCAGCCAUGCCGCGUGUAUGAAAAAGGCCUUCGGGUUGUAAAGUACUUUCAGUCGUGAGGAGGGUGUUAAGGUUAAUAACCUUAGCAAUUGACGUUAGCGACAGAAGAAGCACCGGCUAACUCCGUGCCAGCAGCCGCGGUAAUACGGAGGGUGCGAGCGUUAAUCGGAAUUACUGGGCGUAAAGGGCACGCAGGCGGUUAAUUAAGUUGGAUGUGAAAUCCCCGGGCUUAACCUGGGAAUGGCAUUCAAGACUGGUUAGCUAGAGUCUUGUAGAGGGGGUAGGAAUUCCAUGUGUAGCGGUGAAAUGCGUAGAGAUGUGGAGGAAUACCGGUGGCGAAGGCGGCCCCUGGACAAAGACUGACGCUCAUGUGCGAAAGCGUGGGGAGCAAACAGGGAUUAGAUACC